rnacentral:tRNA from 1 species
GCGGAUGUAGCUCAGUUGGUUAGAGCACCUGGUUGUGGUCCAGGGGGUCGCGGGUUCAAAUCCCGUCAUUCGCCCCA